rnacentral:rRNA from 1 species
UGGGGAAUUUUGCGCAAUGGGCUAACGCCUGACGCAGCAACGCCGCGUGGAGGAUGAAGGUCCUUGGAUUGUAAACUCCUGUCAGCGGGGAAAAAGGGACUCGACCGAAUACGUCGGGGACUUGAUUGUACCCGCAGAGGAAGCCCCGGCUAACUCUGUGCCAGCAGCCGCGGUAAUACAGAGGGGGCAAGCGUUAUUCGGAAUUAUUGGGCGUAAAGGGCGCGUAGGCGGCGAUUCAAGUGACGGGUGAAAUCCCUCGGCUUAACCGAGGAACUGCCUGUCAGACUGGGUUGCUUGAGGCCGGGGGAGGUGAGUGGAAUUCCCAGUGUAGCGGUGAAAUGCGUAGAUAUUGGAGGAACACCAGUGGCGAAGGCGGCUUCACUGGACCGGUACUGACGCUGAGGCGCGAAAGCGUGGGGAGCAAACA